AAGGGUCUUCCUUUGCCAUUGAUUCACCCUCCAAUGGCCGCUGCGGCUGGCGCUCUGCAGCCGGCGCACCACGCUGAUCCGAAGGCAGGAGCCAGGUACUUAUCCUGGUAUCCCAUGGGGUGCAGGGCCCAAGUACUCGGGCCAUCCUCCACUGCACUCCCUGGCCACGGCAGAGAGCUGGCCUGGAAGAGGGGCAACCGGGACAGAAUCCGGCACCCCGACCGGGACUAGAACCCUGUGUGCCAGCGCCGCAAGGUGGAGGAUUAGCCUAGUGAGCCGCGGCCCCAGCCUUGUAUAGGUUUCCUCUAUCUUCAUGGCUCAAUUUAGGUAGGUUGUAUGUGUCCAGGAAAUCUAUCCAUUUCUGCUGUUUCCCAGUUUGUUGGCAUACAGCUCUUUGUAGUAAUUUCUGAUAAUUCUUUUUCUUUCUGUGGUGUCAGUUGUUACAUUUCCUUUUUCAUUUGUUAUUUUAUUGAUUUGGAUGUUCUCUUUCCUUUUUUGGUUAUUUGGGCCACUGAUGUGUCAAUUUUGUUUAUUUUUUCAAAAACCAGCUCUUCGUUUUAUUGGUCUUUGUAUUGUUUUUUGGAUACAAUUUUUUUGAUUUCUUCUCUAAUUUUAAUAAUUUCUGUUCUCCUUCUAGUUUUGGGUUUGGUUUGCUGUUGUUCUUCCAGAUCCUUGAGAAGCUUUGAAAGCUCAUUUAUUUGGUGCCUUUCCAAUUUCUUGGAAUAGGCAUGCAUUCCUAUAAACUUUCCUCUUAACACUGCUUUUGCUGUAUCCCAUGAGUUUUGAUAUGUUGUGUUGUCAUCUUCAUUUGUUUCCAGAAAUGUUUGGAUUUCUCUUCUGAUUUCUUCGGUGACCCACUGUUCAUUCAGGAGCAUGUUGUUCAGUCUCCAUGUGUUUGCAUAUGCUCUAGGGAUUCCUGAGCUGCUGAUUUCUAGCUUCAUUCCGUUGUGGUCCGUGAGGAUGCAUGGUAUGAUUUCUGUUGUUUUGAAUUUGCUGCGACUUGCUGUAUGGCCUUGUAUGUCAUCACUCCUGGCAAAGUUCCAUGUGCUGCUGAGAAGAGUGUUUAUUCUGCAACUGUAGGAUGAAAAGUUCUGUAGAUAUCUGUGAGGUCUGUUUGUUUUAUAGAGUCAACUAAAUCUGCUGUUUCCUUGUUGGUUUUCUGUCAGGUUGAUCUGUCCAUUGCUGAAAGUAGAAACCUGAUUCCCCCAGUACUAUUGUGGUGUAGUCUAUGUCUUCCUUUAGAUCCCUUAACAUUCUUUUUAGAUAGCCAGGUGCCCUGUAAUCAGGUGCAUAUGCCUUUAUAAUAGUUACAUCUUGCUGUUGCAUUGGUCCCUUAAUCAUUCUAUACAUAUGCUCUUCUUUCUCUCUUUUAACAGUUCUUGUGUUAAGGCCUAUUUGGUCUGACAUUAAGAUGGCUACACCAGCUCUUUUUUGGUUUCUGUAGGCAUGGAAUAUCUUUUUCCAUCUUUUCACUUUCAGUCUCCAUGCAUCUUUGUUAGUGAAAUGUGUUUCUUGUAGGCAGCAAAAAGAUGAGUUUUGUUUUUUAAUCCACUCAGCCAGUCUGUGUCUUUAUACUGGGGAGUUGAGGCCACUUGCAUUCAGUGUGACUACUGAUAAGAAGGACUUUGCCCUGCUAGCUUCCAAAGAUAUUCAUAAUUUAUACUUUGAACUUCCUUUGACCUUUUACUGAGAGAUUUUCUUCCUUUACCUUUUUUUGUAUUGAUGACCAUGUGUCUGAGUUUCUGUGUAUCUGUGCAGCACAUCUUUAAGCAUCUUUUGCAGGGCUGGACUGAAGGUGACAAAUUAUUGCAAUUUCUGUUUGUUGUUGUUAUUUCACCUUCAUUAACAAAUGAGAGCUUUGCAGGGUAUAAUGUUCUGGGAUGAGUUUUUUUUUUUUCUCUUAGGAAUUGGACUGUAUCUUGCCUGUCUCCUAGCCUGUAGGGUUUGAAGUCCACUAUGAGUCUAAUUGGAGAGCCUCUGAAAAUAACCUGGUGUUUCUCUCAUGCACGUUUUAGAAUCUUCUCUUCAUAUUUCACUGUGGUGAGUUUGAAGACAGUAUGCCAUGGUGAGGAUCUUUUCUCAUCAUGUCAGUUGGGAGUUCUGUGUGCUUCUUAUAGUUGGAGGUCCCUUUCUUUCCAAACCCUGGAAGUUUUCUGCUAUUAUUUCACUAAUAAGGCCUUCUAAUCUUUUCUCCCUCUCUCUCCAUGCCUUCAGGGACUCCUAGUACCCAUACUAUUUUUUUAUUGUAUCCUGUAGAUUCCCAACAGUGUUUUUCAGUUUUCUAAUUUCCUCUUCUUGUCUUUGAUUUGACUGUAUACUUUGCUGUGCUUUGUCUUCUUAGUUCGAUAGUCUCUCUUCUGCUUCACCAAUUCUGUUUUUAAUGCUCUCCACUGCAUUUUUAUUUAUCCUAUUGAAUUCUUCAUUUUGAUUUCUCUUUAAUAUCUCAAUUUCAUGUUCUAUAAAUUCUUCAUUUCAUUUUGAUUCCUCUUUAAGAUCUCAAUUUCAUGGGAUAAAUUAUCUUUCAUGUCCUGCAUGAAUUUUAGUACUUUGUGCAUUUGAUUUUUAUUACUCUAUAUAAUCUAAUGAGCUAUGUUUGGUAUUCCUCUUUUUUAUUUUUUUUUGCUGUAGUGUCUUUUAUCAUUGUAUUAUGACUCUGUAGAUAAGUGGACUGUCUGCUCAGUGAAUCUCUAGAGGCUUGUAGUGGUUGUGUCCAGAGAACUAUGUUCAGUUCUCCAGGGGUAAGGGCAUGCCUAGGGUGAUACACCCAGGUUUGGUGUGGCAAAUCUUCUCUAUUUUUGCAAUCAAAAGCAAGGUAUACUGCUCAGCUGAGCUCUUCUCCUCUAUGGAGACCAGUGUCUGAAAGCUAGCCCCAGAGGAUAUAGUAUUUGUCUGCUCAAGGAUCUGUGUGGUCCUCAGUGUAAGUUCAGAUUCCCCAGCAAUGUCUCUCACCAGGUAACCAGGAACCCCUGAGCUUGGGGAGUCUCCCAGUGAGACUACUCAGAGUCCCAGCCACAUCGUGAUUCCUCCCACACACCCUCAGUUUCUUUCACAUUCCCAGUUCACAAGCUUCACACAGUCACCAGCUCUUAGCCCCCUGUUAGUUCUCCCCACCAGAGUCAGGAGUCUCUGCUUGGCUGGUUACCAGGUGUAGCCACGAGCUGUUGCAGCUGUUUGUAUAUCCAAAACGGCGCCCACUCUAUCGGUUUGUUGUGGUGCACCAUUGCAAAGUGAUUCAGGAGAGGGAAACAUGUCCGUCCCAUCCUCUUUUUUUUUUUUUCCUCCUCUACUUGGCUGAUACACUUUCCCCCAUGGGGCACCGAGGCUGGUUCCCUCUAGGCUUUUCCUGCCACUUUUUCACCAGUGGCUUGGGAUGCUGCAGUCUAGUGUCACCUCACUUUCCAGCGCUGUUGCAUUGGCUCCCAGAAGUUGGAGUCCUGAGCCAUGGGCGCCCACACCCUCCAUGGAGGUCCACCUUGUCCCUCUAAUUUUGGUAGAGUUUAUUCUACCAUUUUUCCCUAACUCUUCCCUUAGGCUACUUUGUCUCUACUUUUUAAAAACUAUCUUCUCCUGAGCAAGUUUAGUAAGUUCCCUCCAUACUCCACGUUCUUGGAACAUCCACCAGGACAUAUUUUACCCAUUUUAAUUAAACCCACUCUAUUUGUACCUUCUUUCAAAAAUUUUCCGUUACUUUUUGCAAAAAUUCCUUAACUGUAUCACAGCCUAAUUAGAAUCAAUGUUUCCAUCCAUUUCACAUGAACUGUGGACCUCUUACCAGCUUAUAAGCCCCUUUGCUCUGCUCCUUGAUGCUAUGAUUAUGUACUUUUCUGUGUUAGGCAUGGAACCCUGGAAGACAGUGUCAUCUCUGCGCUUCAUCUUUCUGGAGACAGGGCUAUCAGGCGCUUCUUUGACCUCCGUGUUCCAGCCGGCUGCUUCCCAUUGGUGCUCCAUGGAAGCCACCGGGCCCAGCUGCUCUCAGGUCCAUGGUCGGCUGCUACCUCUGCCUGAGCCUCGGGCUCUGGGCUGAAGCAGCGUGCGAAGUGGAAAGUCUUGUGGACUUGUUUCUCUGAUCCAGCAUAGAGACCUUUUAAGGUGAGUGAGGAAGACUUCUAGUUUCCUUUUGUGAUUCUUCCCUGUCAGCCUGUGCCAUGCCAUUCUUCUUUGCAUAUUGCUCUUUGAUUCUGCCGCUGUGCUGGGCAUGCUGGGAGUUCUACUACUGCUGUGGAUUGCUUAGCACUUUUCUGAAUGUGAGCUCACGCUAGGGGAGAACAGGGGUGAUUCUGCCUCUCCCAGGAUGGUUGCUUUUCACUUCCAUUUUUGCCUGCAGUGGCACUGCUAAAGACCAUUUUUUUGGUUUGUUUCUAAUUUUUUUUAAAGAUUGAUUUAUUUGAAAGGCAGAGUUAAUACAGAGUACUUCUAUUCAUAGAUUCAUUCCAAAUGGCCACAGAGGCUACAGAGAUGGUCAAAGCCAGGAGCUUCAUGGAGGUCUACACAUAGGGCAAGGCCCUAUGUACUUGGGCCAUCCUCUGCUGUUUCCCAGGCACAGUAGCAGGGAGCCAGAUCAGAAGUGGAGCACUUGGACUCAAACCCUUGCCCGUCUGGUAUGCAGGCGCCACAAGCAGCAGCUUUACCUCCUAUGCCACAUGCACAGGCCCUGGGACUAAGUUUUGAUAUUGGGAAAUGUGAAUCUUCUAACAGUAUCUUUCAUUUUCAAAGCUGCUUUGCUCCUACUGGGUUCCUUACCUCUCUGUAUGAAUUUUGGCAUCUGUACAUCAAGUUUGAAGAAAGGGCACUAGAGUUUGGAAGGAAUUGUGUGAUUUGUGUAGGGAAUUUGGGGAAUAUUGUUAUUUAACAGCACUACAUUUUCCAGGCUACACACAUAAGAUGUCUUCUGUUUAUGUAGGCACUUGGUGGAUUACAAUGAUGUUUUGCAGAUUUUGUUUCCCAUUUUGCAGUUCUUUUGAAAAUUUCAUUCCCAGGUGUUUGAGUUUGAUAACUGCCCAAUGAAUUCUUUUUUGCAGUGGUCACACUAUUUCCUUACAGAUGGUUUCUGAUGUGGUGGGAGAUGGUUGCCCUCAGAGAGAUGUAGUACUGAUACUCACGGAGGCAGCACUCAGAGAAAUCCCGAGUGUCACUGAGCAUGACGGCUUCUGCCGAGGGACCUCAGGACUUGCUGCAGGACAGCUCCCCGGAGCUUGUGCCCUGGUAGGUUGUACACUGACAUCAGAGAACAUCGGGUUUCUGGUGGAAAAGCAACCAAAUGUCAGCUUACCCUUGGCUUUUGGAAAAUGAAGACACAGAAGGAUGAUAGGCCGGGUAUAUCGUGGACUGCUCGUGUACGGCUGGCAGGAGGAAACCAGUGUGCUCCAGGCUGCCCUUGCAUUCUCCUAAGCAAGGGCAAGGGCAAGGGCAGAGCCUCAGUCUGCAGUCAGAAGCUGCAUCAGCCAGGUCACCUGAGGACAGCAGGGUUUUUUUCCCCCAUAGACACCUGCAUCCACAAGGAAGUCUGGUUCUGUCACUUGUUUAACUGGCUUUAUGCUUUCCUGCUCCUGGUUGAUGGAAUUGAGUAGGAAUAAACUGCCGCUUAUGUUGGCCCUGUAUUCUACACGAGUUGAGCGACUACCAGAUGUAGAGGGACACAAUAUGGGACGGGGAGUAAUCGUCAGAGUGUUGGUGAGUGCUUCAAAUACUGACUGGUGUCAGAGAAGCCGUGAUGUCAUCGUCUCAGUGUGCAGGGGCUGCUGACCAGCCGCCUUCAUCAGAGAAGCACACAGCCAGUAUCUGGGAGAGAGGUGUCAUUAGCCGGGGCUCAGUCCCUGGUGGAAGGGGGGGUUCAAAGCAGCGUCCUUCAGCCCAGUGGGCCUUGUUUGGAAGGGCCCAGAACUUGGCCCUCCAGGACUCCUGGCCUCUGCAGAGACUGGAGUUCACCUGUAGAUGGUCCGAUCCAUGGGCAGGCAGAUGAGUGCAGUCAUCUUGUUUUACGGGGCAGUGAUCCGCCUCCAUCUGGUUUUCAAGCUGUUCCCUGCAGACCCAGGCUGUCUGUCUGAUCUGCUCCGUGGAGACUCUGCUGUGCCCUCCCCUUCCCACCCACUUGGCCACAUUCAGAGGAGUGGCUGCUCGAAUGAGAGGAUACGUGGCGGGCAGCUGUUGGACCUCCAGGUUCCAGGCUUCGGGCUGAAGAAGCAGGUGAGCGACAGAUGGCAUGGAGCUAUUACCAGGCCACAGGGCAGACAACGCAGUGGUGAGUGAUGGCUCUUCUGAUGUUCUCCUCUGACUGUUCACUGCUGUCGUACAGAAAUGCACUUCAUGUUUGCUUGUUGCUCUUUUAUGUUGCCACCUUGCUGGAGGUGCUUGUUUAGUCCUAAUAGUUCUUUGUGUUUCUCAUUUUUCUCUGUGAGACCAUGCCGUGGGAAAACAGAGAUAAUUUUACUUCUUUUCUAGAAUGGUGUCCUUUUAGUUACUUUUUCCCCCCUUCGCUCUGCUUAAAACCUCUAGCAGCAUGUUGAUCAGAAGAAACAAGAGCAAAACCGUUAGUCUUCUUUCUGAUCUAGGAGGAGAGAUUCCUGUUUUCUUUUUUAAAUUUCUGCCCCCAGAAUCUUUGAGAUUUACAUAGAAAAUGCACUGAAUAUUUCGAAUUCUUUGAUUAUCAUUCACCUAGUAAUGUUAUUAUCAAUUUGCUUUUUUAAAUAUGUAUUUAUUUAUUUGAAAGAGUCAGAGAAAGGCGGGGCGGGUGGUCCUUCAUCUGCUGGUCCAUUCCAUAAGUGGCCGCAAUAUUCGGAGCCGGACCAAUCCGAAGUCAGGAGCCAGGAGCCUCCCCAGGUCCCCCACAGGAAUACAAGGACCCAAGCACCUGAGACAUCCUCCACUGCCCUCCAGGGCAAGGAGGGAGCUGGAUUGGAAGCAGAACAGUCAGGACUGGAACAGGUGCCCACAUGGGAUGCUGGCAGCACAGGCGGCAGCUUUACCCAUCAUGCCAGAAUCCUGGCCCCUAUUUGAUUUUAUGUUUUUAAAGCUAUUUGUGUAUUUGAAUUCAGAGCUACAGAUUGGAUUGUGUGUGUGUAUGUGUGUGUGUGUGCAUGAGACACAGCCCUGGUUACUGCAGACACUGGAGAGUGAAGUAGUGGAUACAAGUGUGUUGUGUGUGUGUUGUGUGUGUGGUGUGUGUGGUGUGGUGUGCCUUUCGGAUGAAAAGAAAUAAUGAAAUAGAGAGAGAGAAGUUUAUUUUGUAUGAAAAAUUUUGAAUUCCAUGCACAGGUGUUCAUUUAUUUUUAUUAAAAGAUUUAUUUACUUCUUUGGAAGGCCAAGUCUUCACCUGCUGGUUCCCUCUCCAAAUGUCCACAGUCUGGAGUCUUCCAGGUCCCAUGCGGGUGCAGGGGCCCAGGUAGGUGGAGGAGCCAUUGUGUGUGCUGGGUCUCAGCGCAGACCACAGCACCCUCACCACACCGAGGCCACUGGCUUCCUGGGUGCUCCAUGGAAACUGCAGGGGGCAGCACGGGUGGAGCAGGGCGCUGGGUGGCAGCUCCCACGGGUGGGCCUAGCGCUCCAGGCCUGAGGCGGCAUUGAAGCAAAGGCCUUCGCGGGCCUCUGUCCAGCAAGCACAACGGGGCUCCCUGUGGUGAGUAAGGGGCGGGGGGGUCCCGGGUUCCUGCUGGGGGCUUCCCUGCUGGCUUGGGCCAGGCCUCUGCACCUUGCCUGUUGCUCUGGGGUCCUGCAGGGAGCAGGGUGUGGGCGGAGUCGCAGUGGUGCUGUGCGGACCCUGGAACUUUGCCCAGUGUGCGAGCAGCUGUGGAGAGCAGAGGUGGCUCUGCCUGCUCCCGGAACGGCCCGUGUUCCCCUUUGUGUCCUUGUUGAUGGCCCAGCCACCCUGCUCUAGACCUGUGAGCUCCCUGACCCAAGAGUAGGAACGAACAUGCUCGUCUGUUUCCUGGGCUCCGAGGACGGUUUCUGGUUACUGCAUUCGGUGUGAUGCCGCACUGUGUGCAUUUUUCAUGAAAGUUCGUUGUCCAGCCGAGGUUGGCCUUCGUUCCUAAUUUGGUGAUUUCUUUAAUAUCUCAAAGGUAAUUAAGUUUAUGCAAAAUAGGUUUUCUCUGUCUAUAGGGGUGCUUUGUGGGCUUUUCCCGUGUUUAUUCUGUUCUGUGAUAUGUUGAUUUUUUUAUGGUAGCCAUCCUUGCAUUACUGAAGUAACUCCCAGAUGCACAGAGUGUGCGAACCUUUUGUUGGGCUUCUGGAUAGGGUUUGGUAAUCUUUUGUUGAGGCAUGGGACACAUUCAUAACGGAUAUUUGUGUGCCAUUUUCUUUAUGAUCUGUUUGUGUUGGCUGUUGGGCUAAUGCUGGUCUGAUGGAAUAAAAUGGAAUGUUUUUCCUAUUCAUCUCCUUUUUGGGAGAGUUUGCGAAUCAAGGACUUCAAUUAUCCUUUAAAUGUGUGUUUUCACCUUUGGAGCCAUCUGGUCCUGGACUUUUCUUCAUGGUUUUUUUGUUUUUCUGAUACAGCAAUCUCUUUUCAAAUUAUAAGUAUAUUCAGAGUUUCUAGUUUUACUGGAGUCAGUUUUAGCAGUUUGUGUCUUUCUGAAUCAGUCUAUUAUAUCUGUGUUGACCAUAGAUCAUAGACCAUUCAGGUGCCCAACAGGAAGAUUUGCCUCCUCCUCCUGAUGGGGGUCUAUGUCUUUCUUCAAAAUCUCCCUGGAUCAAUGGAGUGUAACAGUUAAUGUGUAUUUCCCAUGAACACUCUGAAGACCCCUCACACCUGACUCAGUGUUGUCCACUGUCUGGUUCAACCACUGUGGGCUGUGGGCGUUGUCCAGGUGAAAGCUGGCAAACUUGUCUUCUCACAACCCUUGCCUCGGGAGGUGCAUUUUGGUUUUUCAAGAACUUUCCAGACUUGAUCAGGUAGCAGUGGGUGGUGUAAGUUGGUAACUAUCCGUUCUCAGAAGGAGAGGCUAAGGUCUCCUUGUAGUCUUCCUUUGAAACUUUAUGUGGAAGUCAUUUCCUAGUCAGAAAGAUGGCUAGGAAUAUAAUACCACAUCUGGGUUCUGUGGGACUAGGGCACUUGUAUACAAUAUGGUGUCAAUGUUCUUCUCUGAAAACGUACCUGAUCUCUCAUAGGUUUUACUAUUUACUAAAAUAGUCAGAGGAGGACGGGUUUGGGGUAGAGAGACACACUCAGUUUUUUCAGAUACUUUGCUGUGUCUCUAAAGGCCUGUGUGUGUGUCCUUAUUCUGUUUAUUACAUUGAUUGCCCUUUCGUGUUUACCAUCCUUGCAUUCCUGGAAUUAUGCUCAGUUAAUCAGAGUGUGUAAACCUUUUAUUACGCUGGAUUCCGUUUGCUGAUCAUUUUUGUAUAUUCACAGGUGAUACUUGUUUGUGGUUUUCUGUAUGAUGUAGUUUUAUUUUCACAUCAGGCUCAUACUGGUGCCCUGACAUCAGAUGGCAGGUGCUUCUUCUUCUUCUGCUUCAGGAGGGUUUCUGAAUUCUGGUUUUAAUCAUCCUUUACAUGUUUUGGAGAUCCCACCAGUGAAGCCAUCUGGCGCUGCGUGUUUCUUCAUGGGAUUUUUUUUUUUACUACUUCAAUCUCUGUGUUACAAUAUGUUCAGAUUUCCUAUUUUUACAUGAGUGACAUUUGGCACUUUGUGUGUUUAUAGAAAAUCAUCCACUUUAUCAAUGUUGUCUAAAGAACUGGCUUAUGAUUUUCCAUAGAGUUCCCUGAUCCUUUUAGUGAGGUGAGUAGUGAUGUCUGCUCCUUUAUUUCUGAUCUGAAAUAACUUGUGUCUUUCCUUAUUUUCUUUUGUCUGCUCUAGAGAAUAGUUUGUCAUUUUCACUGAUCCUUGCAGAAAUCAGCUUGUGGUUCAUGGAAUUUUGGUCGUGUGUUUUCUCUAUUCAGAUUGAUUGAUUGCAGUUCUUAUCUUUCUUUUACCUCCUUCCACUGCCCUUGGGGUUCUUCUGCUCUUCUAGUCUUUAAAGGUAAAAAUUUAUUGACUUGACAUCUGUAUUAUUUAAUAUAUACAUUUGUAUCUGUAAAGCUUCCUCUAGCAAUAUCGUCAUAUGAAACAUUCUAUGGAUAUUCCCUCCCCCCACAGCUGUCCCUAUGGUCCAGAUCUGUCCCAGAGCUCACGGGCACUCACUGCUGCCCUCCCAGCCCUGACCCAGCCCCCUGGAGGGCACAGGUGAAUCUCAGGCAUUAGCUUCAGGGUGCUGUGCAGAUCUCUUCCUGGGGUGGGGGCUGUGGAGCCUCCAACGCUCAUCAGAAACACAAAGAAGCCCUGCUGAAGCUGGGCUCUGCGGGUCACAAAACUGGAGCAGGCGCGUUCAAUCUAACGCUUUAAUACAUGGAAACAAUUUAAUACACGUCAGCAUCAAGAAUAAAGGCCUAAAGGUUCUCCUUGAGGGUGGGGGUGGGAACAGUCCAGUGGCUCCUGGCUCUGUGCUGUCAUCUUCAAGCUUUGGGGAUGCCCAUGGCAGUUCUGACACCCCUCUGCCCUGGAACAGGAAGAGGAUGGGGAGGGCCACUGGGUGGGUGGGGGCUCAAUCCAGUGUAGAGGACUCUGUGUAGAGAACAGCAGGCUGCUGCCCAGCCUGGGCAGGACACAUGGUGGGCUCAGCCUCUUCCAGGAGGCACCCAUCAUCCAGGUGUCCCAUGGAGUAGGAGCUAAGGAGGCCUCGAGCCAGGGAGGGCACUGGGCCUGGUCUCCAAGCACAGGGCUGGAUCUGGCCGGCUCCAGCCUGUGACUGUACCCAGAGUGCAUGGAGCUGCCAUGCAGGUAGGGAGUCCUCAGCCGUGGCCCCCAGGCUAGGACGGCCUGCAUGGGCCCUGGUUCUGGGGGCUGUGAGGCCCGUGGAGGAGCCCACAUGCAGAGGCCCUCCUGGCUGCCAGCAUCGAAAGACUCCUCAUCUUCCGUGUGUCCGGGCAGUUUCAGAUUUGGCAUUGGCACAGCCCUCCUCUCCCCCACGAGCUCUCGGGAGUCUCAGAGGGACUGGCCACACGUGGAGACUGUGAGUUCCCCACAGGGGAGCUUCCUCUCUGGGUGGAAGUUAGAGCCCUGGUCUGCUCCCACAGUGCCCGCAUGUCCUCUCGGUGAU